UAGGGAAUCUUCGGCAAUGGGGGGAACCCUGACCGAGCAACGCCGCGUGAGUGAAGAAGGUUUUCGGAUCGUAAAGCUCUGUUGUUAAGGAAGAACGAGUGUGAGAAUGGAAAGUUCAUGCUGUGACGGUACUUAACCAGAAAGGGACGGCUAACUACGUGCCAGCAGCCGCGGUAAUACGUAGGUCCCGAGCGUUGUCCGGAUUUAUUGGGCGUAAAGCGAGCGCAGGCGGUUAGAAAAGUCUGAAGUGAAAGGCAGUGGCUCAACCAUUGUAGGCUUUGGAAACUGUUUAACUUGAGUGCAGAAGGGGAGAGUGGAAUUCCAUGUGUAACGGUGAAAUGCGUAGAUAUAUGGAGGAACACCAGUGGCGAAGGCGACUCUCUGGUCUGUAACUGACGCUGAGGCUCGAAAGCGUGGGGAGCGAACAGG
rnacentral:rRNA from 1 species